rnacentral:rRNA from 1 species
UACGAAGGGGGCUAGCGUUGCUCGGAAUCACUGGGCGUAAAGGGCGCGUAGGCGGCCAUUCAAGUCAGGGGUGAAAGCCUGUGGCUCAACCACAGAAUUGCCUUUGAUACUGCUUGGCUAGAGACCGGAAGAGGUAAGUGGAACUGCAAGUGUAGAGGUGAAAUUCGUAGAUAUUCGCAAGAACACCAGUGGCGAAGGCGGCUUACUGGUCCGGUUCUGACGCUGAGGCGCGAAAGCGUGGGGAGCAAACAGG